GAUUAGAAGUCAGGGGAAAAAAAACCAACCCAAUUUUGUUGCACACGAGUUGAAUCCAACCACUGUUGCUUUGAAUUCACUUUCCAGCAACGGGAGCUUUGGAGAAUAGUUCAGGAGGGAUGAGGGAGGAAGUCUGGGGAAAAAAAAUGUUUUGUUAAAUGUUGACAGCGAAGAAUCUUUUUAUUUAUUUCACUUCAUUGCUUUGCCUUAGCCCAGCUCCUGGCAGUGUUGAGGUCUGUGCAAGCUCCCUCUGAAGGCAUCACUCCUGCUUGCUCUGCUGGCCAUUCCUGAAUGAACAUACCAGCACACAUCACACCCAGCAUUCCAGGGCUUCCCUUUAGCCAUCCUAGACCUUUCAUUUUUUGCUGCUACCUCUGACAGAAUCUGGUUAAUUGUGUAUUUACCGAGCUGGAUUCUGUUGUGGGUGCAGACUAUUAACCUUUAUGUCACCUAGAAGAUAUUACACCUGGUAAAGUUAAUGUUUUGAGACUGGGAGGUUAAUGUGUCAGUGCUCAACCCUCUCUAAUUAGCAACAAGGGCCCGUGUGUGGCUGUGCUGUGAGCCCUGCUUUAAUUGGGAAGGAUUCACAGUUGGGUCACAUCAACAGCACCAGUUUACCUGCCCCUUUCAGCCUUCUCUGCUCUUUCUCCUCCUUGGUGUUCCAGGAACUUGGAUUCAUUAGGAAUCCUUUCACCAGAAAUCCUGGAGACUAUUUCCUGCAGGCCUUGGGUAUGUACAAAGCAUCUUCUCCAUUCAGGACAUGUGCAAAUUCCCCACUGAAAUCAGCACUCAUCCAGUGCUAACACCCACACGACUUCCAAAUGUGUCUGGAAAGGAGCAGAGCAGCUUGGGAAACAUCUAGACUUCUGUAUGAAGCCAGAACAUUUCUUUGUUGAAAUGACAAAAAGGUGUUUGAUUUAUUUUAAUUUUUUCCAAUAUUGUGGAAACAUGCUGCUGAACCAUAAAUGCCUCUGGAGAUGCAGAAGGAGGUGCUGAGCUGCAAACCAAAACCUGCUCAGCACAAGAACGCUCUUUGUAGCUAAAGAUAAGGUUUUAGGGGGCUCUCUUUGCCUUUGUAUUACUUCUAAUCUGUUUCACUGCGGGUCAUAAAGCCUGGUGUGCCGAGUUUUUCAAGUGCCAUUAGUUUAUGGGCUUGUUAACAGAAAGGAUUUUGUUGGUCUUUCAUGGUCUGAAUCUCAUUGAACCGGAGAUCCCUCGGUGUAAUUUUGAUGGCAGAGGAGAAUCAGGUUAAUAACAUUUAGGACAGUCUUUCAGAAAAUAUUAUUUGAGCUGGUUCCCCGUUCUGUCCCUCCUUUCCCUGCCCUCUUAUUGCCAUUACUGGUGUUAGCUACUGCUAUCGCUGCAGUUGUAUUUAUCUGGUCACAGAUUGGGUUGAAGCUUUAGAAACGUGCAGGGCAGCCACCUUUUGGGGGCUGCAUUCAGAAGGUGAAGGAACCUGCAAAAAGCAUGUUUGUUUUAUCAUGUGCAUCUUUAUACAAAGCUGCAGAUGGGAAUGCGAGGGUGUUUAAAAGCCAGGGGAGAAAAAACAAGUUAGACUUUUAAAAGCAUUGUUAGAGCACAGCAGGCCCAGUGAUAACAGAGAUGUGAGACAAUAAAAGGGUGAAUCAGUUAAUUAGGAUGUUUGGU
rnacentral:lncRNA from 1 species